UACAGAGGUGGCAAGCGUUGUUCGGAAUUACUGGGCGUCACGGGCGCGUAGGCUGUCUUUUAAUUCUUUUGUGAAAUCCCUCGGCUCAACUGAGGAACUGCACGGGAUACUGGAAGACUUGAGUUCGGGAGAGGGAAGCGGAAUUCCGGGUGUAGCGGUGAAAUGCGUAGAUAUCCGGAGGAACACCGGUGGCGAAGGCGGCUUCCUGGACCGAUUACUGACGCUGAGGCGCGAAAGCUAGGGGAGCAAACGGG
rnacentral:rRNA from 1 species